rnacentral:lncRNA from 1 species
CUUAGUGUGGCUGUACCCAGGUCAGAUCCAAGGUUGGGACUGGGACCAGGUGGACUUUGUUUGUUGGGGCUUUAGAUUCCCAGAGAGUUAGCUCUAAGCGACCACAUCAUUCUAGAUUGACCUUAAUCUGUUUACUGAAGUCCCACUGCUAAAUGAUAGACUCACCCCUGUUUCUCUGCAUCCCUUGCCCCUCCCUCAUGCAGACCAGACCAACACAACCAUGACAUAGUCUCUCUGCACUGGUCCAAUCGCUGCUCAGUGCCGUCUGAGUAUAGCGCUCUCCUUUUAAAUCCCCCUCUCUGUGGUGAAUCAGCACUUGCAGCGCAGCCCUCCGGUGAUACAGCAGGUGGUAGAGGAGUCUACUGAAACAGCCUACAUGGCAGAUGGGAGUAAGAGAAUGAUGACCGUGUCCCCUCCUGAUGGAUCGAGCCUGUCCCUGUGGAGACUGUGGGGGCAAUGAGGCGCGGGGACAAGGAACAGCUAAAUGAUUGAGCCAUCACUACGUGCAGUUGUCCCGUCUGGCUGGUCCAGCCAUAUGUUAGAGCUGGGUGGGCCAAGUCAGACUUUAGCUGAUAAAUGGGUGUGUGUUUUAAGCCAGGCAAGGUGAAGAGGGGUGAAGAAAACAAACCUGGCCGUGUCCUCCGAACGUUCCUCAGAAUAACAACAGGAACACUCUUGUCUGCAUUUUCCGGCCGUGAGUGGGGCCUUCAUGGAUUCCCCGUACAAUGGCAACACGUCCCUCCAGACCUCCACCUCCAACCUCAACGCCAACUUCUCCCGGCCGACAGAGGCGGAAGAGGAGGGCAAGUACUCCAGCGACGCCAUCUGGCUUUGGGUGGCCGUCAUUGCAACCAUCGGCAACAUAGUAGUGGUAGCAGUGGUUUGCGCCUGUGCCUUCUAAGACUCGUUAGUUACAAGCACACAGCCGAACCUCCCUCUUGCCACUUUUUCCCCCUCCACUUUGACCUAUCCCCUGUAUUCGUUUUCAUCUGGUAUGUGUCCAUCCGUAAUAUUAAAGCCAAGGCCAAGUUCUGA